rnacentral:rRNA from 1 species
AAGUCGAACGAUUAAACUUUCCUUCGGGAAAGAUAUAAAGUGGCGCACGGGUGAGUAACACGUAAGUAAUCUACCUUCGAGUGGGGAAUAACGUUCGGAAACGAACGCUAAUACCGCAUAAUGCAGCGGCAUCGCAAGAUGACAGUUGUUAAAGGAAUUUAUUUCGCUUGAAGAGGAGCUUGCGGCAGAUUAGCUUGUUGGUAAGGUAACGGCUUACCAAGGCUACGAUCUGUAUCCGGUCUAAGAGGACGGUCGGACACACUGACACUGAAUAACGGGUCAGACUCCUACGGGAGGCAGCAGUCGGGAAUUUUGGGCAAUGGGCGAAAGCCUGACCCAGCAACGCCGCGUGAAGGAUGAAGUAUUUCGGUAUGUAAACUUCGAAAGAAUGGGAAGAAUAAAUGACGGUACCAUUUAUAAGCUCCGGCUAACUACGUGCCAGCAGCCGCGGUAAUACGUAGGGAGCAAGCGUUGUUCGGAUUUACUGGGCGUAAAGGGCGCGUAGGCGGCGCGGUAAGUCACUUGUGAAAUCUCUGAGCUUAACUCAGAACGGCCAAGUGAUACUGCAGUGCUAGAGUGCAGAAGGGGCAAUCGGAAUUCUUGGUGUAGCGGUGAAAUGCGUAGAUAUCAAGAGGAACACCUGAG